UGCGUAGGCGGAUAGAUAAGUCAGAGGUGAAAGCCUCCCGCUCAACGGGAGAACUGCCUUUGAUACUGUUUAUCUUGAAUGAGGUUGAGGUUAGCGGAAUGUGACAUGUAGCGGUGAAAUGCAUAGAUAUGUCAUAGAACACCAAUUGCGUAGGCAGCUAGCUAGGCCUUUAUUGACGCUGAGGCACGAAAGCGUGGGUAGCGAACAGGAUUAGAUACCCUGGUAGUCC
rnacentral:rRNA from 1 species